rnacentral:rRNA from 1 species
AACGAACGCUGGCGGCGUGCUUAACACAUGCAAGUCGAACGGAGUGGCGAACGGGUGAGUAAAACGUGUGUGAUCUGCCUUGCACUUCGGGAUAAGCUUGGGAAACUGGGUCUAAUUCCGGAUUGUGCAAGAUGAGCUCGCGGCCUAUCGGCUUGUUGGUGGGGGAAUGGGCUACCAAGGGGUCGACGGGUCGCCGGCCUGAGAGGGUGUACGGCGACAUUGGGACUGAGGUACGGCGCAGACUGCUACAGGAGGCAGCAGUGGGGAGUAUUGCACAAUGGGCGGAAGCCUGAUGCAGCGACGCCGGGGUGGGGAUGAAGGCCUUCGGGUUGUAAACUUCUUUCGACAGGGACGCGGUACCUGUAUAAGAAGCACCGGCUAACUACGUGCCAGCAGCCGCGGUAAUAC